UCGAGGGGUAACAGGAAGUGCUUGCACUUCGCUGACGACCGGCGCACGGGUGAGUAUCGCGUAUACAAUCUGCCUCAUACUAGAGGAUAGCCCGAAGAAAUUUGGAUUAAUACUCUAUAGUAUCUAAAAAAGGCAUCUUUUUUAGAUUAAAGGUUACGGUAUGAGAUGAGUAUGCGUUCUAUUAGUUUGUAGGUGUGGUAACGGCACACCUAGACUACGAUAGAUAGGGGCCCUGAGAGGGGGACCCCCCACACUGGUACUGAGACACGGACCAGACUCCUACGGGAGGCAGCAGUAAGGAAUAUUGGUCAAUGGACGAAAGUCUGAACCAGCCAUGCCGCGUGCAGGAUGACGGCCCUAUGGGUUGUAAACUGCUUUUAUACAGGAAGAAAAACUUUCUCGUGAGAGAGCUUGACGGUACUGUAAGAAU
rnacentral:rRNA from 1 species